rnacentral:rRNA from 1 species
GACGAACGCUGGCGGCGCGCCUAACACAUGCAAGUCGAACGAGCGAGAGAGAGCUUGCUUUCUCGAGCGAGUGGCGAACGGGUGAGUAACGCGUGAGGAACCUGCCUCAAAGAGGGGGACAACAGUUGGAAACGACUGCUAAUACCGCAUAAGCCCACGGUGCCGCAUGGCACAGAGGGAAAAGGAGCAAUCCGCUUUGAGAUGGCCUCGCGUCCGAUUAGCUAGUUGGUGAGGUAAUGGCCCACCAAGGCGACGAUCGGUAGCCGGACUGAGAGGUUGAACGGCACCAUUGGGACUGAGACACGGCCCAGACUCCUACGGGAGGCAGCAGUGGGGAAUAUUGCACAAUGGGGGAAAGCCUGAUGCAGCGACGCCGCGUGGAGGAAGAAGGUCUUCGGAUUGUAAACUCCUGUUGUUGGGGAAGAUAAUGACGGUACCAAACAAGGAAGUGACGGCUAACUACGU